GAGGAGGAGGAGGAGGAUGAGGAAGAAGAGGAGGAAGACGACGACGACAACGAAGAAGAAGAAGGAGGAGGCAGAUGAUUGGUGGAAAGUGGGGUUGUGAGUUCUGUGCAUCAAGGUGACUAGUUCAAAAGCAAACAGGCAAAGUGCUCUUUGGUUCUGCCAUUGUUGGCUGUGUAUAAUUCAAACUUGAAUGUCUUCUUCCCACACUUGGAAUGGGAUCUCCUAAUACUUAGUGCUAACUCUGGGUUCCUGGUUAUAUCCACGCUGGGCCAGGCCAUAGCUCUGUAGGUAAAGGAUUUUACUUGCAAGCAUGAGGACCUGACCUUUGUCCCCCAAAAACAUGUUUAAAAAGACAAAACACCAGUCACAACAGCUUGUAUUUGUUAUCCCACUGCUAAAGAAGUCAGGAGAGCCCGACUCUCGCAGUCAUCCAGCCUAGUCCUUGGCUGAGUUUCAGGGCAACAAGAAUAUAUCUCAAAACAAAAACCAAACCAAACCAAAACAACAAAAACAACAACAAAAAAAUAAAUAAAAACCCAAAAAAACAUCUUAAGGGCAGCUGAGGUUGUCGAUGGCUCCCAUGUGCACAGGCACACACGUGUGCGUUUGGAAAGGUGUACAGGAGGUUUAUUCAUGGCAACAUUAACAUGCAUGUCAGAGGCUAUCAAACUUCUCGUUUUAAAGAUCAAAUUCGACUUAGUGCAGGGUUGAAGCCUGAGGCCUUUAUGUCUAGUUAGGGCUCUAACUCCGGCCUCGCGGUCCUACCUAGCAACCACGGGGCGUGGCUGACCUCACCCAGAGGUGCCACCAAGCCCAGACUGUCCGCCAGAGGCAGUAGGUGGGUGACUGGGUGCAUGGCUACUCGUGCCUGGCGGGGCGCCCGUCUUUCUCUUAAGGAAAUUCUUUUUAUUCUGUCCACAUAAUAAAGUACAUUUACACCAGCGUGGAUAUCUGAUCCGUGGAAAGAUCAGAGAGAACCUGGCACGCGUUCCUCCGUACUAAGCAACCAAUCCCACCUCCUGGCUCUAAGGUUAAAAAAAAAGAAAAAAAAAAAUCAACAAGAUAAUCUCAGCUUGUAGCCGCCCCAGGAACUUCCUGGUUCUGCAUAACCACGCCUUCCGUUUCUAUGGCAAUGGGUCCCUCCCCCUCAGAAAGCCAGCCCUACUUCAGUUAAAACACAUAGGCAAGCGUUCUCUUCUUCGCUGACAUUGAUGGCUUUGCUUAUAGAAUUUUUUCCUUUCCCUCCCUCGGCAGGUCUCGUUGGCUAACCUUAUUUCUCACAGGGCAUUAAACCUUUUUAUAAAACCACUAGAAGUAGCAGUGAUGGGCGUUGCCGGCUGCGAUGACAACAUUCUAAACUAUAAGUAACUGGAAUCGCCCUGGUGGACUGACUUGCCACAACGCGCGUGCUCUCUCAGCUGACGCCCUUUUCCAGUCUUCUAGGACUAAAGCUUGGCUGUCUCCUGCCCAUCCGGGUUCCAGAGUCUCAGCGGAUGCUCCGGCUCUUGCGGACUUAAGCGCCCAGCGGGCCCAGAGGGAGCAUCAGAUCCUCCAGAACUGCAUUUACAGACAGUUGUUAGCUGCCCUGUGAACCUGGGAGAGCACACAAAGUGACAAAGAACCGAUGUCCAGGCAGUUGGCAAGGACAUUUGAGACUCAAUUCUUGGACUCUAAAGCCAGUGAAAACAAGCAGUGAAGACAUUGCUGGGCGAAGGGACUUCUGUAAGAGAGAAGUUUGCAAAGGAGAGUGAAGGUAAGUGUUUUUUUGGUUGCACAGUGGGUGAGAGGGGGCCUGACAUUGUCAUGUGGUGACAUCUGAGAGGCCUUCAAAGGGCUGUGAGACAAGCAGAAACCACGGAGUCAACAACGGAGGUAGUGAGUCUUUCCUAAUGAUCAGCACCUCUGGCACCAGAGAAUGAAGGAGGGGGCCACUGUCGGAGUGAAUGGCCUACUUUUCGGUGAUAUUAUGUGGACAAUGGGGACCUAAAGUAGAACAAAGGCACUGACUAUCCAGCAGCCAAUGGGACGAAUUUCCUGAAGGAGGCACCAGUCAGCUCUUUCAUGCAUUCAUGACUUUGGUUUAAAUGCCUCCAACCAAUGCUCAUGUUGAAAUUUAAUUUCCACCAUGAGGUAAAAUGAUGGGUCCAGGCAGGCUCUGUAAGAGGAGAUUAAUGCAUCCCAGAUUAAUGGAUUAAGAGGAAAUGGAUUAUCUCAGGAGCGGCUUUGUUCUAAAGUGAGCUUCCUGGCUUCUCUUUUAUAUCAACUGUGUGACACCUUGCACUGUCCUGGGACUCACAGAGUCCUCACCAGCAUCAAUGUGCUCAACAGGCUGGGUCCCUCCACCUUGGACUUCCCAGCUUCCCUAACUACAAAAUAGACCUCUUUAACAAAAAUCUUCCAGGUGGUAGAUUUUUUUUUAAAUCAACAGAAAACAGACCAGGAUGCUCACCUUCAAGUAGGCGUUUUUGUGCGUCCUGUGUCAGGUACCUGCACACUCGAGGGAGGACAUUUUGCUACUGUGGCGAGCUGCCCAUGGAGCUCUCAGAAGACACAGAGUCCAGGGGCAAAGAAACAUCUUAAUUUUUACAGGCAAGAGCUCUGGUGGAGGUGAACACAGGGUAACCUCGGAGUGUCCCAGACAAAAGACGCUUAGACUGAGUCUUGAGGGGUAAGCAGAGAUUGGUCAAAGAACAAGACUAGGAAGUGUACGCUGGUCAGAAGGAACAGCUGGUGCAGGGCUCUUUAAGCAACCUCACACUCAUGGUAGCUCUAGUCUGGGAUAAGGGAAAUUGGGCUUUUCUAAAACUUUACACAUCAAAUAAUGACCUCAGUCGUUUAGCAAGUGUGUGAUAUGUUUAGGCACUGGGUGACUUUGCUUGCGUACUUGUUUGCUUGCAGUAUUGGAAAAUGAACUCGAUGCCUUGUGCAUAUGAGACAUGAGUCCCUGAUUAUACCCUCCAGCCCAGACUCCGUUCUAUUAAUUAAUGUGUUUAUUUGUGUUGGAGGCAGAGUCUUGUAUGUCUUAGGCACGGUUCCAGCUUGCUAUGCAGUCAGGGAUAAGCCUCACUGUCUGCUCCUCCUGCUUCCCCCUCCCAGUACUGGGAUAACAGAUGUGUGCCCCUCACCUGGUUUAUUGGUGCUAAGGAUGAAAGCCAGGGUUCUGGGCAUGCGAGCCAAGUCCACUACUAACUGAGCCACAUCCCCGGCCAGGUAGCAUUUGUUACACACAGUGACUUGUUUAAUUAUCACGAAGGACAUCGCCAUUCUCACUUUACAAACUUUCCCCCUUCAGAGUCUCAGAGUCAGGAAGCUCUUGGGGGGGUGGUGAUGGAGGAGACUGUGUGCUUUGGGAUAAGACAUGUAGGUGACAACAAGAGAAAGAAGGCGACAGUGACUUGAGUUUAAGUUUGGACAUUACCUGUCGUGGAUAUCCCCAUCGACACUCAAGUUGAAAUUCAAUUUCUCUUGUGAGGUAUUAAGAGUUGGGUCCAGAAGGGACACUCCGUGGUGACUGGGCUAUCAGGGCAGAGUCCAUGGGUUAACAUUACCUUGAGGGUGGGGCUACUGUAGAAGCUAGUUUGAUUUUGUUUCUUUUCUGUACCCCAGGCACCAAGUCAUACCCUCUGCCACCUCAGGGUACUUGGAAGUGUCUCCACCUGCCAAGAGAUCAGCUCCAGAUGAGGCCUCUUAACCUCAAACUUUCAGCUUCUAGAACCGCUGGCUGAGUGAACGUGUAUUAUUUAUAAGGGAUCCAAUUCCUGGUAUUUGGUUGUAGCAACAGAAAACUGACUAUGACAGACAUAUUGAGCUCCAAUUGUUUGUGAACAACAUGGAAAUGUCAGCAGCUGCUGAGUUCUCUUUUCUAACCUCAGGAGAGAGGCCUGGGUAGAAAAGAAGGAUUAGAGACGAAAAAGAAAUCCAGGAGAGGAAACCAUUACACUAAGCAAUAUUAGGCAGGCAAAGGUCACAGUGCCUUCCGUGUUUAACCCUUUCAAUGCCCGAAUAAAGUCAAUAACCACCAUGAUUUUAUAGGAUAGACUAAGUCAGUCAGUCUCCCUGCCCUUCUAUAGCUGCAUUUCCACCCCUUUGUGACUAUAAACCAGUAUUUUAUGUUGGAGAGAAUAUA
rnacentral:sRNA from 1 species